CAGCAAACACGGCCGCCACAGAAGCACUAUGGCAUUACUUCUCCCAUCAGCUUAGCAGCCCCCAAGGAGACUGACUGCCUACUCACACAGAAGCUAGUUGAGACUCUGAAGCCCUUUGGGGUUUUUGAAGAGGAAGAGGAACUGCAGCGCAGGAUUUUAAUUUGGGGAAAAUUAAAUAACCUGGUAAACGAGUGGAUACAAGAAAUCAGUGAAAGCAAGAAUCUUCCACCAUCUGUAACUGAAAAUGUUGGUGGGAAAAUUUUUACAUUUGGAUCUUAUAGAUUAGGAGUACAUACAAAAGGUGCUGAUAUUGAUGCACUGUGUGUUGCACCGAGACAUGUUGAUCGAAGUGAUUUUUUCACCUCAUUCUAUGAUAAGUUGAAAUUACAGGAAGAAGUAAAAGGUUUAAGAGCUGUUGAAGAGGCAUUUGUACCACUUAUCAAACUGUGUUUUGAUGGGAUAGAGAUUGAUAUUUUGUUUGCAAGAUUAGCACUGCAGACUAUUCCAGAAGACUUGGACUUAAGAGAUGACAGUCUGCUUAAAAAUUUAGAUAUAAGAUGUAUAAGAAGUCUUAACGGUUGCAGGGUAACCGAUGAAAUUUUACAUCUAGUACCAAACAUUGACAACUUCAGGUUAACCCUGAGAGCUAUCAAACUGUGGGCCAAACGCCACAACAUCUAUUCCAAUAUAUUAGGUUUCCUCGGUGGUAUUUCCUGGCUGUGCUAGUAGCAAGAACUUGCCAGCUUUAUCCAAAUGCAAUAGCAUCAACUCUUGUACACAAAUUUUUCUUGGUAUUUUCUAAAUGGGAAUGGCCAAAUCCAGUCCUAUUGAAACAGCCUGAAGAAUGCAAUCGUAAUUUGCCUGUAUGGGACCCAAGGGUUAGUGUAUUAUUUUUUCCCCUACAAAUUCGCACUGUGCAAUAA
rnacentral:lncRNA from 1 species